ACACAAAGACCAGACCCAAAAGUGGCCUGAGCCAAAAUCUUUAUCAGACAACAAAUAACCUAAAGAUCACAUUUAGGAAAGUAAAGGUUGCCUUCAUCUCCCCACGCUGGAAUGUUCUAUCAACGCACAUUCUAUGACUAGUAUAAAUCAGCUCAAAUUUGCUCCAACCACUUUGAUUUAAAUAAGUGUUAAUCCUCUUCUUUCUUUCAUCUCUUUCUUACAUCAGUUGGCAGAGGUAUACAUAGAAAUUUCUUCAAACAAAGAGCUCUUGGAGAUAGAUCAACAUCUCUCACAACAUCAACUUUACCCUGGCAAUCAACACUCUUUUUUCCAUCUUCCAGUUGUGAAAAUGAUUCUACAUCCUUAAUAUUAUGAGUCAAUAUGAUGUGAAGGACAACAUAAGGUGAAUCAAUAUUACUGCCCCAGACUUGAGAAUCAUCCACUUUCAGAGGAAUAUCAAUUGUGGCCAAAGAAUUAUUCUUUGUUGCUGUUAAAUCUCUGCCAGGUAAUCUACUCCUGGCUGGAGACAAGACGAAAAUUAAACUAGCUGACUUCGGGUUAGCUAGGGAGGAGGAAGAAUCUGAAAUGACCGCGGAAGCUGGAACAUACGGCUAGAUGGCUCCUGCUUCCUCAGAUGCUCAACAUAGAUCCAACUAAUAAUUACGGGGUGAAGAAACACUACAAUCAUAAAGUAGAUGUCCACACAGUCUCGAUGGUUCUAUGGGAGCUAAUCACCAACGACACUCCAUUCGAGGGAAAACGGACGUUCUAGCAGCAGAUGAUGCUACACAUAAAGUAGACCUAAAGAUUUUGCUGUAGAUGGGAUAAUGUGUGAUACAGAUUCAAAGUAUAAAGGAUUGGCUACUGCAAUAUCAAAAUAAUUGAAGAUUGAUUUUAAUUCAAUCAAAAUUGAGAUUAAGGUUGAUAUUUCAACCAAUAAGUUCAAUGCUUCCAAUCAUCGUAUGAGAUAUGGUGCGUUACUUUGGGAUUCUGUUAAAAAAAAAAUAAGAUGAUAAGAGAGGUGACUAGGCAGACUCGGUGGUCCGAAGAUUUUGAGAGACAAUUUUAGUUCAAUUGUCCCUAAAAAAAUACAGCAUACAUAGACAUGGGUAUUGCAUUUUAAUAUUUUUUGGUGCUUAUUACUGUUAUCUUUCUAUGAUUGUUGUAUGAACAAAAUUUAGUUUUGAUAUUUAAGCAGUUUCUUAUUCAGUGUUAUGCUAAUUUAACAGUUGUUUUGUAUUUCACAUCGUUGAAUGAAUUGGAUAUCAAUUAAGUUUGUGUCAA